rfam:Sphingobacteriales bacterium 46-32 scnpilot_p_inoc_scaffold_248, whole genome shotgun sequence.
GUAGCUAUGUACGGACAGGAUAAACGCUGAAAGCAUCUAAGCGUGAAACCUUCCUCAAGAUGAGUUUACUUUUAAGGGCCGUCAAAGACUAUGACGUUGAUAGGCUAUAGGUGUAAAGCUGGUAACAGCAAAGCCAAGUAGUACUAAUUGCCCGUACGCUUUAAUUUU